GUCCCGCCUCCCACUGGGCGCCGGCGAUUUGACGCUUCUUGGAAGGUGCCCAACGGGGCCCGCUAAUUUGCGAGGAGGCGGUCUCAGGAACCCUUCCGCGCCUUCCGCGGUUUAAGGAGGAUGGUGAUACAGUAGAUUAAGCAUUGGGCAGCUAACUGCAAGGCCAGUGGUUCAAGUCCACCAGCUGCAUUUUAGGAGAAAGGCACAACCUUUGUCCCUGCUGUCUGAAGUACACAAACAUAAUGUAGAACAAAUGCUUGUCAAGCAUGUCUGGAGUCUUCCUGUGGAGAAGAUGCAUGACCACAUUGUCACCGCUUCAAAAAUCCUUCAUGGAUAAAUCAAGACUGUUUUCCUGUCAAUCUAUGUGCUUGACAAAUGGAAUUGGCUUCUCGAAAUUAAGGAGGAGCUGAGGAAAAAAAAGAAGCCAGGAACUCCCCAGACAAGCAUUGCUCAGCAGAGUAGACCUCUGCUCUGAUUCCAAAAGCAGGCAGAUUAAGACUUAAACAGCUUUCCUGUUGAUGUCUUCAAGGAUCCAUUAGAACUGUGACAUCAGAACCUGAACUUGCAUCUAGAACCAUGUGGGAGAAACAUGACUGCAUAUUUCGAGGAUGUAUAUGAUAUAUCAUGGCAUUAUUUGGAUUAAGAAGUUGCAAGCAAUUUUGAUUUUCACCCCUUGGGAAAUGCAUCAUCAGAAUGUUGUUGUGAACAUUCAAUAAAAUAUAACAUAGUGAUAAGAAGUAGUUAAUCAUUAAUAUUGUAAUAAGGAUAGCUCUUGGAAUGAGAGAAUGAGUUCUAUAGGACAAUAAUUUAUAUAAAUUUAAACACAAAAAUAUUAUUUUUCAGAGUGUAAUUCAGGUACGUUGCGACAUUCAUUAGAUAUGUUUGAGUGGACAUUUUUUAUAGAGAGGGCACUGUAAAUGGGAAUGGAUAAAGCUCAGGGAAACGAAUGAAAUAAAAUAAGAGCAUUGCACAGGUCCAUUAAAAACAAUGUGAUGUGAUAUCUGUGUACAUAUGGGCUGUAUAAGCCAUGGGUAAUGCAUGCAUGUCCUAAUUUUAAGUCUGAAUAUCUACAGCAAAAGGAUGUACAUGUUUUAGGGAAGAUUUGAAUACCUAAUGUAGAAGACAGAUGGAUAUUUGAUGAAUGUAAAUUCUUGAUUUUAAUAUAUUUCUUCACCUAAAGUGUUAGAAAUAAGUCAUAAAUUUGCCUCAGUGUAGGGAAUGUGUGAAAAUCUGUAAAUGUGAGAUUUAAUAUGCAGGGAGAAUUGUUCUGUAAACUUGGAAAAUGCAGAUAGUUUGUCAAAAGUGUGUCUCUUUGAUGGGUUGAGUUUCACGUACUCUAUUAGGCAGUAAUUGAAAAGCAUCCAUUUGAUUCUUCUGGUAACAUAAUCCCAUUAAACAUGCUCACUGACUUAGCCUUUUAUUAAUCAAUAAAAAUUCCCCUAUCAUGAAUUCUUGUGUAAACAAUAUACUAUCAAUUUUAGCUUUAAAAUGCUGUUCUAUCAUGCUCAAUGUAUUAUAUUUUUCAAUUGCUUUUGUGUGCUUGGUAAUAAUCUUAGGCUUUUUAAUAAUAUCCUCCUGGUAACAUGCCAUUUUGCCAAUAUUGUACUUAAUAAAUCUUACUAUAUAAUCAAAUGCAGGUUGAAUUCUAUGGACUAUAAUAUUCAAAAGGCUUUUCAAUCUAGUUCUUAAAUGCUUCCUCCUCACC